GAUGAAGAACGUAGCGAAAUGCGAUACUUGGUGUGAAUUGCAGAAUCCCGUGAACCAUCGAGUCUUUGAACGCAAGUUGCGCCCGAAGCCACUAGGCCGAGGGCACGCCUGCCUGGGCGUCACACGUCGUUGCCCCCCCCCCAUCUACUCCUUCGGGAUUGCGGGGGGCGGAUGAUGGCCUCCCGUGCGCCUAGCCGCGCGGUUGGCAUAAAUACCAAGUCCUCGGCGACGCACGCCACGACAAUCGGUGGUUGCGAAACCUCGGUUGCCCGUCGUGUGCGUUCGUCGCGCAUCGAGGGCUCGAAAAAAUGCUCGGCUCCGGCUCGGCUUUCAACGCGACCCCAGGUCAGGCGGGGUUACCCGCUGAAUUUAAGCAUAUCAUAAGCGGAGGA
rnacentral:misc_RNA from 1 species